rnacentral:misc_RNA from 1 species
ACUGACAAAGGGGAGGCUGAAGAAUUGGCAGAAGUUGAAGCAAAAUUGGAUGCUGAUUGGAAAGCUAACACAGGAAUAACCAAAGAGGAUGUCAAGGCUGAUGAUGAAUUGAAGAAGCAGAGGCGAACGUUUCUUGCACAGUUCUUCUCACCUAUAUUCUUGAAGGCAUUUUCCAUCACAUUCUUUGGUGAAUGGGGUGACAAGAGCCAGAUAGCUACCAUCGGCUUGGCUGCAGAUGAGAACCCAUUUGGCGUUGUACUUGGUGGAAUCGUAGGACAGGCACUCUGUACUACUGCUGCUGUUGUCGGAGGAAAAAGCUUGGCAUCUCAAAUAUCUGAGAAAAUAGUUGCCCUGUC